GUGGGGAAUCUUGCGCAAUGGGCGAAAGCCUGACGCAGCCAUGCCGCGUGAAUGAUGAAGGUCUUAGGAUUGUAAAAUUCUUUCACCGGGGACGAUAACGACGGUACCCGGAGAAGAAGCUCCGGCUAACUUCGUGCCAGCAGCCGCGGUAAUACGAAGGGGGCUAGCGUUGCUCGGAAUUACUGGGCGUAAAGGGCGCGUAGGCGGACAGCUUAGUCAGAGGUGAAAGCCCAGGGCUCAACCUUGGAAUUGCCUUUGAUACUGGCUGUCUUGAGUUUGGGAGAGGUGAGUGGAACUCCGAGUGUAGAGGUGAAAUUCGUAGAUAUUCGGAAGAACACCAGUGGCGAAGGCGACUCACUGGCCCAAUACUGACGCUGAGGCGCGAAAGCGUGGGGAGCAAACAGGAUUAGAUACCCGGGUAGUCC
rnacentral:rRNA from 1 species